GGGUUGUGAGGUUAAGCGACUAAGCGUACACGGUGGAUGCCCUGGCAGUCAGAGGCGAUGAAGGACGUGCUAAUCUGCGAUAAGCGUCGGUAAGGUGAUAUGAACCGUUAUAACCGGCGAUUUCCGAAUGGGGAAACCCAGUGUGAUUCGUCACACUAUCAUUAACUGAAUCCAUAGGUUAAUGAGGCGAACCGGGGGAACUGAAACAUCUAAGUACCCCGAGGAAAAGAAAUCAACCGAGAUUCCCCCAGUAGCGGCGAGCGAACGGGGAGCAGCCCAGAGCCUGAAUCAGUGUGUGUGUUAGUGGAAGCGUCUGGAAAGGCGCGCGAUACAGGGUGACAGCCCCGUACACAAAAAUGCACAUGCUGUGAGCUCGAUGAGUAGGGCGGGACACGUGGUAUCCUGUCUGAAUAUGGGGGGACCAUCCUCCAAGGCUAAAUACUCCUGACUGACCGAUAGUGAACCAGUACCGUGAGGGAAAGGCGAAAAGAACCCCGGCGAGGGGAGUGAAAAAGAACCUGAAACCGUGUACGUACAAGCAGUGGGAGCACAGAGCAAUCUGUGUGACUGCGUACCUUUUGUAUAAUGGGUCAGCGACUUAUAUUCUGUAGCAAGGUUAACCGAAUAGGGGAGCCGAAGGGAAACCGAGUCUUAACUGGGCGUUAAGUUGCAGGGUAUAGACCCGAAACCCGGUGAUCUAGCCAUGGGCAGGUUGAAGGUUGGGUAACACUAACUGGAGGACCGAACCGACUAAUGUUGAAAAAUUAGCGGAUGACUUGUGGCUGGGGGUGAAAGGCCAAUCAAACCGGGAGAUAGCUGGUUCUCCCCGAAAGCUAUUUAGGUAGCGCCUCGUGAAUUCAUCUCCGGGGGUAGAGCACUGUUUCGGCAAGGGGGUCAUCCCGACUUACCAACCCGAUGCAAACUGCGAAUACCGGAGAAUGUUAUCACGGGAGACACACGGCGGGUGCUAACGUCCGUCGUGAAGAGGGAAACAACCCAGACCGCCAGCUAAGGUCCCAAAGUCAUGGUUAAGUGGGAAACGAUGUGGGAAGGCCCAGACAGCCAGGAUGUUGGCUUAGAAGCAGCCAUCAUUUAAAGAAAGCGUAAUAGCUCACUGGUCGAGUCGGCCUGCGCGGAAGAUGUAACGGGGCUAAACCAUGCACCGAAGCUGCGGCAGCGACGCUGAUGCGUUGUUGGGUAGGGGAGCGUUCUGUAAGCCUGUGAAGGUGUGCUGUGAGGCAUGCUGGAGGUAUCAGAAGUGCGAAUGCUGACAUAAGUAACGAUAAAGCGGGUGAAAAGCCCGCUCGCCGGAAGACCAAGGGUUCCUGUCCAACGUUAAUCGGGGCAGGGUGAGUCGACCCCUAAGGCGAGGCCGAAAGGCGUAGUCGAUGGGAAACAGGUUAAUAUUCCUGUACUUGGUGUUACUGCGAAGGGGGGACGGAGAAGGCUAUGUUGGCCGGGCGACGGUUGUCCCGGUUUAAGCGUGUAGGCUGGUUUUCCAGGCAAAUCCGGAAAAUCAAGGCUGAGGCGUGAUGACGAGGCACUACGGUGCUGAAGCAACAAAUGCCCUGCUUCCAGGAAAAGCCUCUAAGCAUCAGGUAACAUCAAAUCGUACCCCAAACCGACACAGGUGGUCAGGUAGAGAAUACCAAGGCGCUUGAGAGAACUCGGGUGAAGGAACUAGGCAAAAUGGUGCCGUAACUUCGGGAGAAGGCACGCUGAUAUGUAGGUGAAGUCCCUCGCGGAUGGAGCUGAAAUCAGUCGAAGAUACCAGCUGGCUGCAACUGUUUAUUAAAAACACAGCACUGUGCAAACACGAAAGUGGACGUAUACGGUGUGACGCCUGCCCGGUGCCGGAAGGUUAAUUGAUGGGGUCAGCGCAAGCGAAGCUCUUGAUCGAAGCCCCGGUAAACGGCGGCCGUAACUAUAACGGUCCUAAGGUAGCGAAAUUCCUUGUCGGGUAAGUUCCGACCUGCACGAAUGGCGUAAUGAUGGCCAGGCUGUCUCCACCCGAGACUCAGUGAAAUUGAACUCGCUGUGAAGAUGCAGUGUACCCGCGGCAAGACGGAAAGACCCCGUGAACCUUUACUAUAGCUUGACACUGAACAUUGAGCCUUGAUGUGUAGGAUAGGUGGGAGGCUUUGAAGUGUGGACGCCAGUCUGCAUGGAGCCGACCUUGAAAUACCACCCUUUAAUGUUUGAUGUUCUAACGUUGACCCGUGAUCCGGGUUGCGGACAGUGUCUGGUGGGUAGUUUGACUGGGGCGGUCUCCUCCUAAAGAGUAACGGAGGAGCACGAAGGUUGGCUAAUCCUGGUCGGACAUCAGGAGGUUAGUGCAAUGGCAUAAGCCAGCUUGACUGCGAGCGUGACGGCGCGAGCAGGUGCGAAAGCAGGUCAUAGUGAUCCGGUGGUUCUGAAUGGAAGGGCCAUCGCUCAACGGAUAAAAGGUACUCCGGGGAUAACAGGCUGAUACCGCCCAAGAGUUCAUAUCGACGGCGGUGUUUGGCACCUCGAUGUCGGCUCAUCACAUCCUGGGGCUGAAGUAGGUCCCAAGGGUAUGGCUGUUCGCCAUUUAAAGUGGUACGCGAGCUGGGUUUAGAACGUCGUGAGACAGUUCGGUCCCUA
rnacentral:rRNA from 1 species